GCUGGCGGCGUGCUUACAAAUGCAAGNNNNAACGAGAAAGCCUUCUUCGGAAGGCGAGUAAAGUGGCGCACGGGUGAGUAACGCGUAGAUAACCUGCCCUUGUGUCUGGGAUAACCCUCCGAAAGGAGGACUAAUACCGGAUACGCUGUUUUAUCAUAAGAUAAAACAGGAAAGAUGGCCUCUAUAUAUAAGCUAUCGCACGAGGAGGGGUCUGCGUACCAUUAGCUUGUUGGUGGGGUAACGGCCUACCAAGGCAACGAUGGUUAGCGGGUCUGAGAGGAUGAUCCGUCACACUGGCACCGAAACACGGGCCAGACUCCUACGGGAGGCAGCAGUGAGGAAUAUUGCGCAAUGGGGGAAACCCUGACGCAGCGACGCCGCGUGAGUGAGGAAGGCCUUCGGGUCGUAAAGCUCUGUCAGAAGAGAAGAAGUGCUACAUGGUUAAUACCCAUGUAGUUUGACGGUACCUUCAAAGGAAGCACCGGCUAACUCCGUGCCAGCAGCCGCGGUAAUACGGAGGGUGCAAGCGUUGUUCGGAAUCACUGGGCGUAAAGGGCGCGCAGGCGGUUUGGUCAGUCAGAUGUGAAAGCCCAUGGCUUAACCAUGGAAGUGCAUUUGAAACUGCCAGACUUGAGUACCAGAGGGGAAAGUGGAAUUCCCGGUGUAGAGGUG
rnacentral:rRNA from 1 species